CAUUAGAUGACUGAAAGCAAGUACUGGUCUCUUAAACCAUUUUAUGGUAAUCUAGCAUCUACCUCUAAUGA
rnacentral:tRNA from 1 species